GGCGGACGGGUGAGUAAUGCCUAGGAAUCUGCCUAGUAGUGGGGGAUAACUUGCCGAAAGGUAAGCUAAUACCGCAUACGUCCUACGGGAGAAAGCAGGGGACUCUUCGGAGCCUUGCGCUAUUAGAUGAGCCUAGGUCGGAUUAGUUAGUUGGUGAGGUAAUGGCUCACCAAGACAGCGAUCCGUAACUGGUCUGAGAGGAUGAUCAGUCACACUGGAACUGAGACACGGUCCAGACUCCUACGGGAGGCAGCAGUGGGGAAUAUUGGACAAUGGGGGCAACCCUGAUCCAGCCAUGCCGCGUGUGUGAAGAAGGUCUUCGGAUUGUAAAGCACUUUAAGCAGUGAAGAAGACUCCAUGGUUAAUACCCAUGGACGAUGGCAUUAGCUGCAGAAUAAGCACCGGCUAACUCUGUGCCAGCAGCCGCGGUAAUACAGAGGGUGCAAGCGUUAAUCGGAAUUACUGGGCGUAAAGCGAGCGUAGGUGGCUUGAUAAGUCAGAUGUGAAAUCCCCGGGCUUAAC
rnacentral:rRNA from 1 species